UACGAAGGGGGCUAGCGUUGUUCGGAAUUACUGGGCGUAAAGGGCGCGUAGGCGGCCGGCUAAGUUAGAUGUGAAAGUCCUGGGCUCAACCUGGGGACUGCAUUUAAUACUGGUUGGCUUGAAUUCGGGAGAGGAUAGCGGAAUUCCCAGUGUAGAGGUGAAAUUCGUAGAUAUUCGGAAGAACACCAGUGGCGAAGGCGGCUCGCUGGACAAGUAUUGGCGCUGAGGUGCGAAAGCGUGGGGAGCAAACAGG
rnacentral:rRNA from 1 species